CCUACGGGAGGCAGCAGUCGAGAAUCAUUCACAAUGGGGGAAACCCUGAUGGUGCGACGCCGCGUGGGGGAAUGCAGGUCUUCGGAUUGUAAACCCCUGUCAUGUGGGAGCAAAUUAAAAAGAUAGUACCACAAGAGGAAGAGACGGCUAACUCUGUGCCAGCAGCCGCGGUAAUACAGAGGUCUCAAGCGUUGUUCGGAAUCACUGGGCGGAAAGCGUGCGUAGGCUGUUUCGUAAGUCGUGUGUGAAAGGCGCGGGCUCAACCCGCGGACGGCACAUGAUACUGCGAGACUAGAGUAAUGGAGGGGGAACCGGAAUUCUCGGUGUAGCAGUGAAAUGCGUAGAUAUCGAGAGGAACACUCGUGGCGAAGGCGGGUUCCUGGACAUUAACUGACGCUGAGGCACGAAGGCCAGGGGAGCGAAAGGGAUUAGAUACCCCUGUAGUC
rnacentral:rRNA from 1 species